rnacentral:rRNA from 1 species
UACGUAGGGUGCAAGCGUUUAAUCGGAAUUACUGGGCGUAAAGCGUGCGCAGGCGGUUUUGUAAGACAGAUGUGAAAUGCCCGGGCUUAACCUGGGAACUGCAUUUGUGACUGCAAGGCUAGAGUUUGGCAGAGGGGGGGUAGAAUUCCGACGUGUAGCAGUGAAAUGCGUAGAUAUGUGGAGGAAUACCGAUGGCGAAGGCAGCCCCCUGGGUCAAGACUGACGCUCAUGCACGAAAGCGUGGGGAGCAAACAGG